rnacentral:lncRNA from 1 species
CUGGCUCGGGCCUUGGCCAGCCCAGAAAAGGGCUCCCACAGUGCAGCGGUGGGCUGAAGGGCUCCUCAAGUGCCGCCAAAGUGGGAGCCCAGGCAGAGGAGGCGCCAAGAGCGAGCGAGGGCUGUGAGGACUGCCAGCACGCUGUCACCUCUCACUGGUCCGUGGCCUGACGGUUGGAGACCCCUGUGUUAAAGGAUACAAAAUUAUAGCUAGGAAAACAAAACAAAACACUGUUACCUACCCGGAUCUGCCUUCCAGCACAUUCGGUACAAACCCACCAGAACAAAUACUGAAAGUGUUAUUACAAUCAAAGCAAUAACCACCGGCAAAAUAAUACCUAAAAAGAAUUGGAGACAUUGUCAAUUAGAGUGGCUACUGAAUUUCACAGCAAUAGUUUGGAAAAACUUGUUAUUUGUUGAGAGACAUGUGAAUUUGCAGCUUUAGAUGUUCUAUUCAGGCAGCGUGGUGGAUUCGAGGGUCAACAGAUCAGACUUGGAGUCCUGAUAUGUGUCAGAAAUUGGGGAAGAUUACUGCCUGAGACAGCACAGGGCAGCGACAGUGAGAGAUGAAGGCAACAUCAGUGUGCGCCAGAGUUUUGCAACUCCACACGCAGUCCAUCAUGGACCAACAACUGCAGCAUCACCUAGGAGCUAUUAGAAGUACAGAAUCU